GGGCCCGCACAAGCGGUGGAGCAUGUGGUUUAAUUCGAUGCAACGCGAAAAACCUUACCAGGCCUUGACAUCCAGAGAACUUACCAGAGAUGGUUCGGUGCCUUCGGGAACUCUGUGACAGGUGUUGCAUGGCUGUCGUCAGCUCGUGUCGUGAGAUGUUGGGUUAAGUCCCGUAACGAGCGCAACCCUUAUCCUUACUUGCCAGCACGUAAUGGUGGGAACUUUAAGGAGACUGCCGGUGACAAACCGGAGGAAGGAGAGGAUGAUGUCAAGUCAUCAUGGCCCUUACGGCCUGGGCUACACACGUGCUACAAUGGGAAGUACAAAGGGUCGCAAUACCGCGAGGUGGAGCAAAUCCCAAAAAACUUUUCGUAGUCCGGAUUGGAGUCUGCAACUCGACUCCAUGAAGUCGGAAUC
rnacentral:rRNA from 1 species